rnacentral:rRNA from 1 species
CCUACGGCGGGCAGCAGUGGGGAAUAUUGGGCAAUGGGCGCAAGCCUGACCCAGCAACGCCGCGUGAAGGAAGAAGGCUUUCGGGUUGUAAACUUCUUUUCUGAGGGACGAAGAAAGUGACGGUACCUCAGGAAUAAGCCACGGCUAACUACGUGCCAGCAGCCGCGGUAAUACGUAGGUGGCAAGCGUUAUCCGGAUUUAGUGGGUGGAAAGGGCGUGUAGGCGGGAAAGCAAGUCAGAUGUGAAAACUCAGGGCUCAACCCUGAGCCUGCAGUUGAAACUGGUUUUCUUGAGUGCUGGAGAGGCAAUCGGAAAUCCGUGUGUAGUGGUGAAAUGCGUAGAUAGACGGAGGAACACCAGUGGCGAAGGCGGAUUGCUGGACAGUAACUGACGCUGAGGCGCGAAAGCGUGGGGAGCACACAGGAUUAGAUACCCUAGUAGUC